CUGAUCUUUACAUCGAGAGGGAGGAGCGAGUGACGGAAAGCGAAGGGAACUCGAAUGAAUGAUACACACCUCCGGUAUUGGUUCGAAACAUGAGAGAAAAAAUACGAGGGAAAUGUUCGAUUGGGGUUCGUCAUCCACAUCAGAUCGAGAAUAUGAAGAGAACAUGUACAGGAAUCUCACAAUAGAGCAUUGCUUUCGACUGAUUGAGAAGACAAUGGAUCGGAAACAACAACUGAAACGAGGAAAGGUGGAAGGACUUCGGUCUCCUGUUGAUAUGAGAAGAAGGAAACACGAAAUCAGAGGCAAGCACGAGAGGUGAGAAGGGUUGCCCCUGUGGUGAUCGACGAGAACAGGGCAAAAAUCACGAGGUUGUUGCCUCCUUGUUCAUUGGGAGGAAACAACACCUCCAAUGAGGAGUUUUUGCAGCAAUUGAUGAAGGAAUAAGGCAGCAGCGAAUAUGAUUCUCAGGGGGUUUUUGGAUGGUUCGAUGGAUAGCUUGAUUUUGAGGAAGGAAACACGUUUCCUUUGUGUUUGUGUGUAGGAUUGUCUAACAAAAUUGCUUACGUUGUUUGUAGCUGUCAAAUUUGUGUAUCUAUAAAUAUUUGAGGGAUUUUGGAGAGUAUAUAACUCUAUUGUUUUAUAUGUGUAUUGUGUGGGUCGAUUGUUUGUAUAUUUUCA